rnacentral:rRNA from 1 species
AGAGUUUGGAUCCUGGCUCAGAACGAACGCUGGCGGCGUGGUUAAGGCAUGCAAGUCGAACGAGGCUAACGUUUGGGUAACCGAAUGUUAGUUUAGUGGCGAACGGGUGAGGAAUACAUGGGUAACGUACCCCGGACUCAGGAAUAGCGGCGGGAGCUUGCUCCCUUUGCGAAAGUGCCGGUAAUACCUGAUGAGCCGGUAGCACCUCCUGGUGCAUCCGGCAAAGGUCAGCCGGUCUGGGAUCGGCCCAUGUCCUAUCAGCUUGUUGGUGAGGUAACGGCUCACCAAGGCGACGACGGGUAGCGGGCGUGAGAGCGUGACCCGCCUCAUCGGGACUGAGACACUGCCCGGACACCUACGGGUGGCUGCAGCAACGAAUAUUCCGCAAUGGGCGAAAGCCUGACGGAGCGACGCCGCGUGCAGGAUGAAGUCCCUCGGGAUGUAAACUGCUGUCAGGGAUUAGGAACACAAUGACCAAUCCCAAAGGAAGCACCGGCUAAUUCCGUGCCAGCAGCCGCGGUAACACGGAAGGUGCAAGCGUUGUUCGGAAUUACUGGGCUUAAAGAGCGUGUAGGCGGGGUGGUAGGUGUCAUAGUGAAAUCCCUCGGCUCAACCGAGGAACUGCUUGGCAAACCCCCACUCUUGAGACAGGUAGAGGCGACUGGAACGUUCGGUGGAGCGGUGAAAUGCGUAGAGAUC